GAUGAAGAACGCAGCGAAAUGCGAUAAGUAGUGUGAAUUGCAGAAUUCAGUGAAUCAUCGAAUCUUUGAACGCACAUUGCGCCCCUUGGUAUUCCAUGGGGCAUGCCUGUUCGAGCGUCAUUUGUACCUUCAAGCUCUGCUUGGUGUUGGGUGUUUGUCUCGCCUCUGCGUGCAGACUCGCCUCAAAACAAUUGGCAGCCGGCGUAUUGAUUUCGGAGCGCAGUACAUCUCGCGCUUUGCACUCAUAACGACGACGUCCAAAAGUACAUUUUUACACUCUUGACCUCGGAUCAGGUAGGGAUACCCGCUGAACUUAAGCAUAUCAAUAAGCGGAGGA
rnacentral:misc_RNA from 1 species